AAGGAAGCUGAGUUCAAGCUACCUUACUGAUGGGAUGAAUUCAGCUUCCUGGUAGACUUUUGGUUAACAUUCCUUUGGUGAGGGGGUGCAGAAGAUCUGGUUUUUUUUCAGCAGGAGGAAGGCCUCCCCCUGCUCAGCUGGGGCCUAUUUACACCAUCUCUCGGAAUUUACCGUCUGAAAAAUGGGACGAUAAUGCUUCACGCCCUGGGGGUGUUAGUGUCUGAGAAGUGCUAAGUUCAGCUGUUGGCUCAGAGCUGGGACUCAUUAAAUGGUAGCUGCUAUUAUUACUAUUGAUUAUAUUAACAGCAGCCACAAGCAGGCGCAGAGCACGGCAGGAAGGCCUCGGCCUGUUGUCUUCAUUGUUUCUUGAUGAGGAAAUUUCGUGGGAGUCGGCUGUUCCAGAAUUAAGAUUCCUUCUCUCUGCUAGUCCAUGUGCUGUGUUUGUCUCCUUGUAGCAGCCCCUCUGCCAGCCUCAGCAGCCUGCCUUUACCAGCCCAGCUACACCGUUCAGCCCUGCUGCUGGAGGCAGACAUCUGCCAGGAAAGCCGACCACCUUCCCAGAUUUUCUGUUUGCAGAUGCAUGGGCAGGGGAUGGGGGUUGGGGGUGGAGCUGGCAGAGAAGGAAUCUUAUACUCCCAAGACUACAGUGUGGGUGAAUGUGCCUCAUUCAGAGAUCAGCAUCAGACCAGAGAGCAGACAGGUACUAAUGUAGACCGAUCUUUUCUUGGCAGGCCCUGUGUUGUUAUAGUGCAGCUUAUCCUUGGACAUAUCUUUGAUUCUGAGCAGUUUAGUUACUAAAGAGGGCCUCUUUGACAUGAAAGAAUUUUUUUUUUUUUCUGCACAGGGAUGUAACCUGACUCUAGGCAGGGUCUCCAUCUUCUUCAGGCCACAGCUCUGCCUAUGAAGCCCCCACCAAGUUCUUCAGUCCCCACCCCCCACAACCUUUUCUGGUGCUGGAGAAGCAGACUUUAUUUCUCACAGGUGGGGUUUCCAGCCAUUCACACUCCAGCUGCCUCCCUGAAUCCAUCCAGAUGUCCCUGUCCACUCAGGGGCAGGGAUAGAGUCUGGUAGUUCACAACUGUCAUCUCAGCAGUCAGUUUUAGCCCUUGACUUAAGGAAGAAAUAUAAACAUUGCCUAUCUUUUUCUUGGCCUUAACACAUUGCUUGUUCAGAUUGGGUCUAUGCCACUUAUU
rnacentral:lncRNA from 1 species